rnacentral:rRNA from 1 species
CAAUAGCGUAUAUUAAAGUUGUUGCAGUUAAAAAGCUCGUAGUUGGAUCUGUGGUGUGCGGUGGGCUCCGGGCACUUGUUGUCUGAGCAGCUCGCCGCUGCCAUCCUUGGGUGGAACCUGUGUGGCAUUAGGUUGUCGUGCAGGGGAUGCCCAUCGUUUACUGUGAAAAAAUUAGAGUGUUCAAAGCAGGCUUAUGCCGUUGAAUAUAUUAGCAUGGAAUAAUGAGAUAGGACUUUUUCGCUAUUUUGUUGGUUUACGCGAAGAGGUAAUGAUUAAUAGGGACAGUUGGGGGUAUUCGUAUUCCAUUGUCAGAGGUGAAAUUCUUGGAUUUUUGGAAGACGAACUACUGCGAAAGCAUUUACCAAGGAUGUUUUCAUUAA